GACUUCCCCUCGUACUACUAAACCUCUACUGUCAAGAGUUAGACUGCAACAUGGUCCCAUUCAGUGAAAGGGCAUGCAGGCUUGAUGAAGGUUGCCUGCAGUGUCAAUGAUGAUGCCCUGUAUACAAACUACAGGAGUUACUAUAGGGGUCAGGUGUCACUAAGGAAAAGACCUGACAUCUCUCUCCACACGAGAAUUAGGCAACAAGAUAUUCACUUAAGUUGCCCUAAAUGUGAAGUAAACUGGACUGGGUGCACAACUGCAUGGAAGCGGCUAUUUAAAACACUGGAAGAAUAUUCAUACGGACGUUCUACAAUACCCUAUAAUAUCAAAACAGCAGGAGCUCACAGGAUAAUAGACAAUGGAUGCUACAACACACAUUCUGAUUGGUACCUAGGAAAAUGUAUAAUGCCGUUCAUCGUAACUAUUCUGGUCAACCAAUUGACUAUUUAUCUCAACUGCAAGGUUUCAACUAAUCCAAGUUCUAACUGAGGGCUGGGCGAGGUAUUCUGCCACCUCCAUUAUGUCUUCCCAGGAAGCAGCUGACGUAUGACCGGCUCAACAACCCCCGUCUGGGAGUUUUUCGACUCAAUAGUUGAGCAUGCCCAGCUUGGAGGGGCGGCAGUUGUGGAUAAAGACAAACUAGAUGCGGUAACAUAUCUCUUACCGCAUGCCGUCAUGACCAACUCCACACAGCGGCCUGGUUCAGUCGCGAACCUAACAAUAGAGGAAUUUAACAACACAAGGCUGGAAAGUCAAAAGGAGGAGAUAUGUUGGUGCUCCGGGCCCAUAGACACAAGACGCAGGCACAGGGCUCUGCAUGCACAUCUUAACUAUCAUAAGUACGUUAGGCCGCAACAACUCGGCAUACAGCCAUCAAACCUCUUUUUUCUGAGGCACGGAGGUAAAGAACUGAAGAACAUGGCAGCGAGGGUGGUGGUUCAAGCCAAAAGGUUUAACUUUACGUUUAUCAACUCCACCGAGCUCAGGAAAACGGUGUCAACAGAAGCAACUAAGAACCUGAAACCGACGCGGAGGGGACUGAUAUCGAAACAGAUAAACCACAGCCGCCACGUGGAGGACAGAUUUUACAAUAAAGAUUUACAUACCACAAAAUCAGCUAUGACUUGAUACAGGCCGCGGGGACUAAGAGGGUUGGAGACAUACUUUGGGAAAACGAUUAAUUGAGAAGGGGCGAACUAUACUUAUAGGGCAGACACCAUAAAAAUUGUAAAGGACAAUCCUGAUAUUCAGAGAGACGCUAAACAAAUACAAGACAAGGUUAGAAACCUAAGCAAAUAAUUAUUACAAGGAUUGCUGAAGGAACUCAUUCUGAAGUUAUUUUCAUUCUAUUGCUUCCUCUCACAUCGUUACUGAUAGCUGUUUGAGGUAUUCUGCCACCGCCGUUGUGUCCUCCCAGGAAACAUCUGGAAUACGACCGGCUCAACAACCCAUCCUAUAAAAAAAGAGAGAUGACUGAAUCUCUCACUGAUGGCAGUUCGAGUCGUUUUACCUCCGCCGCUGUGUCUAUACCUCGACAACAGUUCGAGUAUCAUCAGCUAAACAAUCCAGUUAUUAAAACUACUUGGCAUGCAGACAUUCAUUUACUUGGUAUAUUCAUUUUGUGAGAUGGAACAGAAGAUAGCUGAGCUUGAGUCCAAGAUGAAACGUAUACGUGCAGAUAUACUGACGAAGAAUAUAAUUAUGGUUGUUUCGGUGCUGCAGUCCAUGAAGCGCCGCCAACCUAACGGCAAACUCUACUGUCUCCCCUGCUACACUGCAAAAGCACUUUUGUUAUUGUGACACAGUUUGCUACCGGCACAAAAUGUUAUCUUGACAAAACGUUUGUCAAUUUCCUGCAAUUAUUGUUAUAACGACAAAUCAUAGUUUAUUUAACUAUUAAUAUAGUUUAUCUAACUAUUAAUAUAUUUGUUGUUAUAAUGGUAGAUUGUUAUCUGAACACAUGUGUUGUCAUUUUGUCGAAGCGUUGUUGAUCUCACAUUUAGUGGAAGUUACCGUUCAUUGUCAAAUUAACAUUAAUGUGUGACAAUAACAAAUUAUAAAGUUACAGCUAGAACUCUACUAAAAGAUAUGUGCAAGUUUGCAUCGCUGAUUUCAACCUACUCAACCUAUACUCGAUUACCCUAGCUCGUAAUAAAUUGUCUACACUGAAACAUCUCAGUUGCCCUGAUGCUUAUAUCUUUGCAUGCUCAUGUUAGUUGUGUAUGUAGCAAUUGGAGACUUGUGACUGGGCAUGGUAAGUUACAGUGGCAGUGAAGAAGUCAGGAGCCUCCAGAGUCCUUCAGA